rnacentral:rRNA from 1 species
CUGCCCCGAAGACCGGGAUAACCCUCCGAAAGGAGAGCUAAUACCUGGAUACCCCCACCGAGUCGCAUGGCUUGAUGAGGAAAUGGAUUCCGCUUCGGGAGGGCCUCGCGGCCUAUCAGCUUGUUGGUGAGGUAACGGCUCACCAAGGCGUCGACGGGUAGCUAGUCUGAGAGGACGAAUAGCCACACUGGGACUGAGACACGGCCCAGACUCCUACGGGAGGCAGCAGUGGGGAAUCUUGCGCAAUGGGCGAAAGCCUGACGCAGCAACGCCGCGUGGGGGAUGAAGGCUUUCGGGUUGUAAACCCCUUUCAGCAGGGACGAUUAUGACGGUACCUGCAGAAGAAGGACCGGCCAACUACGUGCCAGCGGCCGCGGUAAUACGUAGGGUCCAAGCGUUGUCCGGAUUUAUUGGGCGUAAGGAGCUCGUAGGCGGCUUCGUAAGUCGGGUGUGAAAACCCCAGGCUCAACCUGGGGACGCCACUCGAUACUGCGGUGGCUUGAGUCUGGUAGGGGAUCUCGGAAUUCCUGGUGUAGCGGUGAAAUGCGCAGAUAUCAGGAGGAACACCAGUGGCGAAGGCGGAGAUCUGGGCCAGUACUGACGCUGAGGAGCGAAAGCGUGGGGAGCGAAAGGGAUUAGAUACCCCUGUAGUC